GGGCUAUUAGCUCAGUCGGUAGAGCACCUGACUUUUAAUCAGGGUGUCCCGCGUUCGAGUCGCGGAUAGAUCACCA
rnacentral:tRNA from 1 species